AAUAGUGAUAUGGAGCAAAACCCUAAAAGCGGUCUCAGUUCGGAUUGAAGGCUGAAAUUCGCCUUCAUGAAGCUGGAAUUGCUAGUAAUGGCAGGUCAGCAUACUGCCGUGAAUACGUUCCCGGGCCUUGUACACACCGCCCGUCACACCAUGAGAGUUGGGAAUACCCGAAGCCUGUGAGCUAACUGUAAGGAGGCAGCAGUCGAAGGUAGAAUCAAUGAUUGGGGUGAAGUCGUAACAAGGUAUC
rnacentral:rRNA from 1 species